rnacentral:rRNA from 1 species
AUGGGGUCGUCCUCCUCCUCCUUCAUCUCCGACUCGCUCGAGCUCUACUUCGGAGAGCUCGGAGGUUGGCCUGUACCUUUGCAGCAUGGACCUCGACCUCGAUCUCAACGCGAUGCCGCAACGAUAGGGAAAUACAACAGCCACAAGAAGCCCCAAUCAUUGCAAUGGAGGGCGACGGACAAUGGUGGGAUCGUCAGCCGGCGGCUAGGACGGACGGAGAAGGUGAGCGGCAGGGUUUUGGAGAGUUGUCGGGCGACUUUAAAUAGCCCAGGCAUGCAGAGCGUCGGGUUGAGUGCGGGUGGCCGAAGUAAGCUUCUCGGUUGCCGCAUCGAUGUGGAUGCAUGGAGAUAG